UUUAACCUUACUUUUGUAUACGCC
rnacentral:siRNA from 1 species